rnacentral:rRNA from 1 species
GACAGAGGUGCCGAGCGUUAGGCGGAAUCACUGGGCUUAAAGCGUGUGUAGGCGGUCUCGUAAGUGCUUUGUGAAAUCCCACGGCUCACCCGUGGAACUGCUUGGCAUACUGCGAGCCUUGAGCCACUUAGGGGCAACCGGAACAAACGGUGGAGCGGUGAAAUGCGUAGAUAUCGUUUGGAACGCCAAUGGUGAAAACAGGUUGCUGGGAGUGCGCUGACGCUGAGACACGAAAGCCAGGGGAGCGAACGGG